GGGCGGCUGUCUAAGAUUAGCCAUGCAUGUGUAAGUAUAAGCGAUUGUACUGUGAGACUGCGAACGGCUCAUUAUAUCAGUAAUAAUUUCUUCGGUAGUUUCUUUUAUAUGGAUACCUGCAGUAAUUCUGGAAAUAAUACAUGCUGUAAGAGCCCUGUAUGGGGCUGCACUUAUUAGAUUGAAGCCGAUUUUAUUGGUGAAUCAUGAUAAUUGAGCAGAUUGACUUUUUUGGUCAAUGAAUCGUUUGAUUUUCUGCCCCAUCAUUUGUCAACGGUAGUGUAUUGGACUACGGGGACUAUAACGGGGGACGGAAAGUUAGGGCUCGACUCCGGAAAGGGAGCCUGAAAAACGGCUACCAUAUCCAAGGAUACCACCAGGCCCGUAAAUUACCCACUGGGGACCCCCCAAGGUAUUGACAAAAAAUAUCAAUGCAAACCGGGUAUGCUUUUUGCUAUCGAAAUGAAAGCAAUGUAAAACCCUCAUCAAGGAUCAACUGGAGGGCAAGUCUGGUGCCACCACCCCCGGUAAUUCCAGCUCCAAAACCAUAUGCUAAAGUUGUUGCAGUUAAAAACCUCGUAUUUGAAUUUCUGGCAUGGGCGACCGGUCCUUUCCCUGAAUGGGCGAUCGUCGACUGUCAGUGCUAGCUUGAUCGCAUGACGGCUCAUACUGGAUAGUCGUCUUGCACUUCAUGCGAAAAAGAUCUUUCACUGUAAUCAAGCCAAGUGUUCCAAGCAGGUCUAAGACCGGUAUGUUUAUUACGAGAUGAAUAGAUAGACUUGGGUGCUAUUUUUGUUGGUCUGCACCCCUGAUUAUGUUUAUAGGAACAGGUGGGGGUUAUUCCGUAUUUAAGAGCCUAGAGUGAAUUCUGGAAUUCCGAAGACAGACUGAGAGCGAGGCAUUUACCAGCAUGUUUCUCAUUAAUCAAGAAGAAUGUCGGGAUAGAAGAUGAUGAGAUCCCAUCGUAGUCUAACCUGUAAGGACGCAGACUUGCGAUUGUGGGUCUAUUUUAUGGGCCUCAGCAGCACCACAUGAGAAAUCAAAGUCUUGAGUUCAGGGGGGAGUAUGGUCGCAAGGCGAAACUUAAAGGAAUGACGCGAGGGGCACCACCAGGAGUGGGACCCUGCGGUUUAAUUUGAUUCACCACGGGAAAACUUACCAGGUCCAGACAUAGGUAGAAUUGACAGAUUGAGAGCUCUUCCAUGAUUUUAUGGGGGGUGGUGCAUGGCCGUUUUUAGUUGGUGGAGUGAUUUGUUUGGUUAAUUCCGUUAACGAAGGAGACCUGGGCUUAUUAAAUAGUGCGGGGUAGGGCAACAUAGUACGUUUUAACUUUUUAGAGGGACAUGUCCGGUUUACGGGCAGGAAGUUGGAGGCAAUAACAGGUCUGUGAUGCCCUUAGAUGUUUUGGGCCGCACGCGCGCUACACUGAUGGGUUCAUCGGGUUUUAAUUUUAUUUUUUGGAAUUGAGUGCUUGGUCGGAAGGCCUGGCUAAUCCUUGGAACGCUCAUCGUGCUGGGGCUAGAUUUUUGCAAUUAUUAAUCUCCAACGAGGAAUUCCUAGUAAACGCAAGUCAUCAGCUUGCAUUGAAUACGUCCCUGCCCUUUGUACACACCGCCCGUCGCACCUACCGAUUGAACGGUCCGAUGAAACCAUGGGAUGUUUCUGUUUGGAUUGAUUUUUGGACAGAGGCAGAACUCGGGUGAAUCUUAUGUAGAGACAUUA
rnacentral:rRNA from 1 species